rnacentral:rRNA from 1 species
AGCGCAGGCGGGAAGACAAGUUGGAAGUGAAAUCCAUGGGCUCAACCCAUGAACUGCUUUCAAAACUGUUUUUCUUUGAGUAGUGCAGAGGUAGGCGGAAUUCCCGGUGUAGCGGUGGAAUGCGUAGAUAUCGGGAGGAACACCAGUGGCGAAGGCGGCCUACUGGGCACCAACUGACGCUGAGGCUCGAAAGUGUGGGUAGCAAACA